AACUCAAGGGGCAAAGUAGACUUAUUCACUUAUCAAUUUAUGCAAUUACCCCUCCAUGUUUUUCUUUUCCUUCAUUUCAUUUGGUAGAUUCCAUCAAAUCCAGGGUCAAAAACCUACCUCUAAUCUCUUCCUACCAAACUGCAAUCAAACAGAAGCAAAAUUUCUCUCUCGAUCCUCUUCUUCUCCGUCGAAAUAUCUCUUGAUCUUGAUAAAUUUCCCACUCUAAAUUUCGAAUUUAGAAUACAGGGUUUUGAUUUGAUUAAAUCAUCAUCAUUGCCUACCACGUUUUGCAGAGAAUAAAUUAUGGGGUCGAAUUUUUGGGUUUCAUCUUCGUAGAACAGAUUCGAAAUUGGUGAAUUGAGUUCGUCUAACACAAACUCUAAAUACAAAAUUGGGUGAAUUCAUUGACUUACUUCCAGAUUGGUUCACAGACAUUCUCAUCUACAUCAUUGAGAGUUUUCAUCAGGCAGAAAUUUACAUCAAAUGGCUAUAGAUAACCAGUUCGUAUGUGGUUGGUGCAGAUGUGAUGGGUGUUGUAGCAUCUCUACCAAGUCUGCACUAAAUGAAGCUAGCCAACACUCACCGGUGUAUGAUGUGUGACUCUCCAGUACCGCAAGUGUGACUAAAUUGGCAUGAUACUAGCUUCAGAUGUUAUAAAAAUGAAGGGGAAGGGUGCACUUGGCAAGAAAGCCAUUAAUUUGGAUUCAGUUUAUACUAGAGAUGAACCGCAAAGGCAUGAUCCAGAGAGAUACUGGAAUGCCCAGGAAACCUGAUUUUUUUCUAAUGAAGUUCUGUGGCGCUACCGUACAACUAAUCGCAUCCAUGAGGUUCUUGCUUCGCCAAGCCAUCACCUACCUGCGUUUUUUUUUAUAUUUAACAGAUCAUAUGAAGCAAAAAAUUAGUAUACGGUUCAUGUGUGAAUAUUUAACAGGUUAUAUGUAGCAACAACUUAGUAUACGGUUCAUGUGUGAAAUUUCAUUUGAGUAGGAAAUGGUGGAAGGCAAAUUUAAGGCUACUUUGAUUGUUGCAAGAGGCUAAUAACUUUCGAAUCAUAUCAUUAUUUGUAAUACUUCAGUUAUGAAAAAUGUCAUUACUUCAGUU